UCCGUUGUAGUCUAGUUGGUUAGGAUACUCGGCUCUCACCCGAGAGACCCGGGUUCGAGUCCCGGGUCCCGGCAACGGAA
rnacentral:tRNA from 1 species